rnacentral:misc_RNA from 1 species
GCGGCUGGAUCCCCUCCUUUCUAAGGAUGCAGACGCAUCUCGAGCGACUCUGUCGCGUUUGAGAGAUCGUCGGCGUUUACUAGACAAAAGACGCCCGUGUUCGCACGGGCGCACUUCAGGAACGCGCUCGCCGCCGUCUCCGUUUCUCUUUCUCACUUCACCGCCAGUUGGGUAUAAGCCCGUAUGGCGGCGAUGCGCGUAGGGGUUCGCCCGGGCGUCGCCGACGUCUUUGAACGUCAAUCGACGUUUGAGGAGCGUAGAGGCCGGUAGCUCAGGUGGUUAGAGCGCACGCCUGAUAAGCGUGAGGUCGGUGGUUCAAGUCCACCUCGGCCUACCAUCGCUCUGGUGCGCGGUCGCCCUUGCGGCGGAAGCGCGUGACGGGGCCGUAGCUCAGUUGGGAGAGCGGUAGCUUUGCAAGCUUCAGGUCGUCGGUUCGAUCCCGUCCGGCUCCACCACGCGCGAUAUGUCUUUCGUCCGUGCGCUUCGUGCGCGCUGACGAGUUUGUCAUUGUGAAGAUGGGCUUGUUCGGGCCCCGUACCCGCGGGGCUUCAACGAAUGAGCUUCUCGAACAUCGUCUGACUUAGCGUUGAUGCGAGGGUGUUUGUCUUGUCUUUCGAGGCGAGGCGCUCACCGCGCAUGAGCGCAGCUGAUGAUCAAGCGUUUAAAGGCGUCUGGUGGAUGCCUUGGCGCGCAGAGGCGAUGAAGGACGUGGCACGCUGCGAAAAGCUGCGGGGAGGUGCGGGCAACCUUUGAUCCGCGGAUGU